UACAGAGGGGGGCAAGCGUUGUUCGGAAUUACUGGGCGUAAAGCGCGCGUAGGUGGCUUCGUAAGUCCGUUGUGAAAGCAAAGGCUCAACCUUUGAAAGCCAAUGGAAUAACUGUGUAAGCCUAGAGUACGGAAGAGGCGAGUGGAAUUCCUGGUGUAGCGGUGGAAUGCGCAGAUAUCAGGAGGAACACCAAUAGCGAAGGCAGCUCGCUGGGACGUUACUGACGCUGAGACGCGAAAGCGUGGGUAGCAAACAGG
rnacentral:rRNA from 1 species